rnacentral:rRNA from 1 species
UAUCGUAAAACUCUGUUGUUAGGGAAGAACAAGUACCGGAGUAACUGCCGGUACCUUGACGGUACCUAACCAGAAAGCCACGGCUAACUAC